UCGGUUCGGGAGGUGGCGGAGAGUCUCGAACGGAACCGGCCGCGUCUGCUGGCUGAUGGUCAGGCAGGAGGCACCGACACCAGCCGCUCAGCUAGCUCCCCCUGCUAGCGACGACAGGGCUAACAUCACAACACGCAAACUUUACGUAGCGUCGCCUCCAUCAUUUCUUCUUACCAGGCGCCUGGAUGAUUGACUGACUGAAGACACGCCCCCGGCCUGCGGCCAUUGGUUGGAUUUUUGUGGCAAUUUACAGAUUUGUUUACUGAGUCAUGAGACGACUUCUGCUUUCAAGAGACAACUUCUGUAUUCUUGAGACAACUUCUGGAUUCAUGAGACAACUUCUGGAUUCUUGAUACAACUUCUGGAUUCUUGAGACAACUUCUGGAUUCAUGAGGCAAUUUCUGGAUUCAUGAGACAACUUCUGGAUUCAUGAGGCAACUUCUGGAUUCUUGAUACAACUUCUGGAUUCGUGAGACAACUUCUGGAUACAUGAGGCAACUUCUGGAUACAUGAGGCAACUUCUGGAUUCAUGAGACAACUUCUGGAUUCAUGAGGAAACACAUCCGUCAGAGACAUCUAAUCCUUUAAAAUGAACAAAAUGAACCUGCUCUCUGGCUCUGGGUAUAAACACUCCACAUUCCCCAGCCUACUGUAGUGUAUAUUCAUUAAAAGUAGUAGUAUUAGUUGUAUAUAUAAUAGUUGUAUUUCACAUAUUUUUUUUAUUUGAAGUUAAAGGAAGUAUCCUGACAACAA